UAUAUAUAUGAUACCCUUUCUUGUGACUUGUACAUAUACAUGUGACUCUCGGUCUGCGCUGCAGGCUUCACAUUCUCAGCGGGAGCGCACGCGUGUCUACAACACGUGUAUGUAAACAGCGAUGAUGUGCGAGUAAUGCGCGCACAUGUUUGAUCAGGUGGGCCGCAAAUUGCCGCGUGAGAGUUAUAGCUUUUAAAAUCAAACAGAACCUCGGAAUAUUGAACGGCUGUUGAUAUUUGAGGCGAAUAAAUAACAGGCUGUAUAUUGCCGUGACAGUACUUAGCGCGCAUCCUGCGAUCCCUUGCGUACUGUAUACUCGUGUUUUAGUUCACCAGGAAAAACUGCUCGGCUGUUUUUGCUAGCGUUCUGCAGUGUCAGGCCCCCAGGCUUACUGUUAUUAUUUUGGGGACUACAGGAGUGUCAGUUAUAAUCAGGCCACUCGGUUUGUUGUGUACGUGUUGGCUGUAACCCCCUAUGCUGCCUAGAAAAAACACGUGUUUAUCCACUCGUAAAUGUGUACUCAUCGGCUAUAUAUAGAUGUUGACUAUAACGUCGCAGUCUAAAAAUGUGUUUAUGUAUCUAUGCAUCAGUAGGAAAUAGGAUUUUGCUGGCCCAACAAUCACCGUAUGCGUAUACACCUCGUUGAUCCUGUUAAUACAAAGAAAAUACUAUUUGCUGGUAGGCUGACCAUGUAGCAGGGAUAACCAGGUAGCAGGAUAACCUGGGAUAACCAGGUAGCAUGGCAACAAGGGAUAACCAGGUAACAUGGAUAACCAGGUAGCAGGGCAACCAGGGAUAACCAGGUAGCAUGGCAACAAGGGAUAAUCAGGUAGCAGGGCAACCAGGGAUAACCAGGUAGCAGGGAUAACCAGGUAGCAUGGCAACAAGGGAUAACCAGGUAGCAGGGAUAACCAGGGAUAACCAGGUAGCAGGGAUAACCAGGUAGCAGGGCAACCAGAGAUAACCAGGUAGCAGGGAUAACCAGGAUCCUCGAGCAUUGCUAGAUUACCAGGGUCACCUGGAAUAGCUAAUUGCUGCCUAUAAGGCUCAGCUGAUUGUGAAGCUGAAUCACGUGUAUGCAUAUAUUAUACUGGAAAAAGUUGUUGUUCUAAACUCUGGCAUCGUAGAAUCGUAGAGUUGUAAAGUUGUUGUUCUCCACUCUGGCAUCGUAGAAUCGUAGAUUUGUAAAGUUGUUGUUCUCCGUCUGGCCUCGUAG